UGUGACCUCAAAUCAGGUAGGACUACCCGCCUGAACUUAAGCAUAUCAAUAAGCGGAGGAAAAGAAACUAACAAGGAUUCCCCUAGUAACUGCGAGUGGAAGCGGGAAAAGCUCAAAUUUAAAAUCUGGCGGUCUUUGGCCGUCCGAGUUGUAAUCUAGAGAAGUGUUAUCCGCGCUGGACCGG
rnacentral:rRNA from 1 species